rnacentral:rRNA from 1 species
GGCGAGUGAGCGGCAAAGCUCAAAUUUGAAAUCUACCACCUUCUGUGUUCGAGUUGUAAUUUGAAGAUGGUAACCUUGGAUUUGGCUCUUGUCUAUGUUCCUUGGAACAAGACGUCAUAGAGGGUGAGAAUCCCGUCUGAUGAAAUGCCCUUUCCUAUGUAAGGUGCUAUCGAAGAGUCGAGUUGUUUGGGAAUGCAAUUCUAAGUGGGUGGUAAAUUCCAUCUAAAGCUAAAUAUUGGCGAGAGACCGAUAGCGAACAUGUACAGUGAUGGAAAGAUGAAAAGAACUUUUAAAAGAAAGUGAAAAAGUACGUGAAAUUGUUGAAAGGGAAGGGCAUUAGAUCAGACUUGGUGUUUUACGAUUAUCUUCUCUUCUUGAGUUGUGCACUCGUAUUUCACUGGGCCAGCAUCGAUUCGGAUGGCAAGAUAAUGGCAGUUGAAUGUGGCUUCACUUCGGUGGAGUGUUAUAGCUUCUGCUGAUAUUGCCUGUCUGGAUCGAGGGCUGCGUCUUUUGACUAGGAUGCUGGCGUAAUGAUCUAAUGCCGCCCGUCUUGAAACA